CUAGCAGACCCCGCCACUAACCAGGAUAAACUAUUCUAUAAAGAGGUAAUUACAGAAUGUAAAUGCAUUGAAAGGUGAUUGCAGAAAAAAAUGGGGUUUUACUUUGUGAAAAUCUUUAACUUGUUUGAAUCCUUAAUGUCUAAAGGUCUGAUUCUUUGUUGGGAAGCAGAAUUUAUUUGUGCCCAAACCCAUCAUUCCAAUACAGAUAAAUUACUACAG